GCUCUGUGGGCAUAGAAUAAUUAGGGUUUAGGCUUUGCAAGGUAGGGUUGAAAGAAAAUCAGUCUCUCUGAUGGCUGAGUUUAGAGGAGAUUGUGUUCAAAGAAAACCAGUAACUCUUCAUUUCUAAGCUCUUCCAAGUCCAGAAGCACUGGUUGAGAGUUCACUGUGCAUUUCUCUGAAGAGAAAUACACAUCCAUCAUACAGAAGAUGAUUUCCCAAGAGUCUAAAAAAUGAAAUGACCAUCUCUAACUCAAUCAGGAAAGUGUAAGGCUCACUGCUGCAGGGAGGAGAGGACAGGAUUGUCUGAGGGACAGCCAAGCAAGCAAGAAUUCCUGCUCCUUCUCAGCAGACUCAUGGGAGACUCACAUUUUUCUCAAUAAGGACGGAGGAAAAAAGAAAGGAAGAGAUCAAGAGAGAAAAGAAAGAAAGGAAGAAAGAAAGAAAGGGAGGGACGAAAGAAGGAAGGAAGGUGAUGAUACUGAAAGUGCCUGGGGAAAAAUCUGCUUAAUGGGCCCCAGGAAAAGAGAUGCCCUAGGAAAC
rnacentral:lncRNA from 1 species